rnacentral:RNase_P_RNA from 4 species
AGAGAAGGCCGGACGGUCGCCGGCGCGGGACACACCCGCGCGGGAGGAAAGUCCGGGCUCCGCAGGGCAGGGUGCUGGCUAACGGCCAGGGGGGGCGACCCCACGGAUCAGUGCCACAGAAAGCAAACCGCCACGCGGCGCAGGCCGCGGGGUAAGGGUGAAACGGUGAGGUAAGAGCUCACCAGCGGCGCGGGUGACCGCGCUGGCUCGGUAAACCCCACCCGGAGCAAGGCCAAAUAGGAGAGCGAUCCCGGUGUCGCGUUCGCGCGGCGCACGGGUGAAGCGUGGCCCGCGUGGGGCUCUCGGGUAUGGCCGCUCGAGGCGCCGGGCAACCGGCGUCCUAGAGAAAUGACCGUCUCCCCGGCUUCGGGCAACCGUGACCGGGUGACAGGACCCGGCUUACAGGCCUUCUCUGGCG